rnacentral:rRNA from 1 species
GUGAGGAAUUUUGCGCAAUGGGGGCAACCCUGACGCAGCAACGCCGCGUGAGUGAUGAAGGCCUUCGGGUCGUAAAGCUCUGUCAAGUGGGAAGAACCUGAUUGUGGUGAACAGCCAUGGUCAUUGACGGUACCACUGAAGGAAGCACCGGCUAACUCCGUGCCAGCAGCCGCGGUAAUACGGAGGGUGCAAGCGUUAUUCGGAUUUACUGGGCGUAAAGGGCGCGUAGGCGGUUGGACAAGUCAGGUGUGAAAUCCCGGGGCUUAACUCCGGAAGUGCAUCUGAUACUGUUCGGCUUGAGUAUGGUAGAGGGAAGUGGAAUUCCUGGUGUAGCGGUGAAAUGCGUAGAUAUCAGGAGGAACACCGGUGGCGAAGGCGACUUCCUGGACCAAAACUGACGCUGAGGCGCGAAGGUGUGGGGAGCAAACAGGAUUAGAUACCCCGGUAGUCC